GACGAACGCUGGCGGCGUGCCUAAUACAUGCAAGUCGAGCGGAUUGAUGGGAGCUUGCUCCCUGAUAUCAGCGGCGGACGGGUGAGUAACACGUGGGCAACCUGCCUAUAAGACUGGGAUAACUUCGGGAAACCGGAGCUAAUACCGGAUAAUCCCUUUCCUCUCAUGAGGAAAGGCUGAAAGAUGGUUUACGCUAUCACUUAUAGAUGGGCCCGCGGCGCAUUAGCUAGUUGGUGAGGUAACGGCUCACCAAGGCAACGAUGCGUAGCCGACCUGAGAGGGUGAUCGGCCACACUGGGACUGAGACACGGCCCAGACUCCUACGGGAGGCAGCAGUAGGGAAUCUUCCGCAAUGGACGAAAGUCUGACGGAGCAACGCCGCGUGAGUGAUGAAGGUUUUCGGAUCGUAAAACUCUGUUGUUAGGGAAGAACAAGUACGAGAGUAACUGCUCGUACCUUGACGGUACCUAACCAGAAAGCCACGGCUAACUACGUGCCAGCCGCCGCGGUAA
rnacentral:rRNA from 1 species